AUAAACAUACUCAGCUCUUUUAGGACAUGUGCAACUUAAAAUGGUCCUUGGAAGCCGGAGGCGUUCUGGGGACAUUGGUAUGCGUGAACAUGAACUUAAGACUCUUUGGUUUCCAAGGGUCCUUCAGAGCACCCUGUCCUGAAACAACAAACAUCCUUCUGCUCUUGAAACUGGUUCAGAGCAGAACAGAAAAAGCAGGCCUGCGGGGGGGAAGCUUUGGAGGUUUCAUGAUGAAGGGCUAUUGGUUUCCAGUACAUCACCUUACCCAGUUUCCAGCGACUGUCUACAUCUGGCUCCGACCUGCACCUGGUCCCAUGGGCUACUCUGACUGACCUUUAUACGAGACAUAAAUAUCCCGCUCCCCUACUCUGCCCUGCUGAUGCCCUUUUGGCUUCAGCCCUACUGCUAGCAGAUGUAAUAAUCUAUACUAAUAAAAGGGCAAUACGCUAA